rnacentral:misc_RNA from 1 species
AAUAAGUGUUUUAUGGCACUUUUUAAAUCCAUAUCCACCUUGUGUGCAAUGUCAGUCGAUCUUCUUCAUGGAGGUCGACCAAACAUCAACCUUUAUUUUUUAACUCUUUGUCUGAAAAAUAUUAUGAAUAAACAAUCCAAAAAACAACUCUUAACAACGGAUAUCUUGGCUCU